GGGGGGGGGCUGGUCGAGCGUUGAUUGUGUCGGUGGCGCAUGCUGCAGAAGUGCGGGCGGCUCGGGUGGACGUUACGGUACCGGGACAGAGUCGGAGGGAGGGAGGGAGGGAGGGAGCGAGGGGGAGGGGGGAUAUUUUUUCUCAUGGAGGCAUCACGCGGUGAAAGCGGACGUAAACACCUUGCGUGAAGCAGUCGGCGGAGCGGACGACUUGGAUUACGCCGCCGCGUGCGCGUCCGCGGCGACUGCAAAUAAAUACAUUAGAGAGCGGGCCGUGUUUUUGGGUGCUGCUUUGCUUCCGGAAGGAGGCCGAGCUGAACGAGAAACCGGGCACUUUUCUCUCUCUCUCUCUCUCUCCCACACACUUUUUUUUUUUUUGGAAGCCGAACUUUUCGAGGGUGGAAAAUGCGUCUUUGAGAGGUGCUUGGCACAUUUCCCUCCACACCACAAUGGCAACCGAAACCUUUCUGUUGAACGAGGAACCCACCAGAGGCCCGGGGAUGCCUGAAUGCUUUGUAGUAUCAGAUUCAUACAGGUAUUACCCUACUCACCUUCUAAAC
ensembl:lncRNA